AACGAACGCUGGCGGCAUGCCUAACACAUGCAAGUCGAACGGGAUCCUAGCUUGCUAGGUGAGAGUGGCGGACGGGUGAGUAACACGUGGGAACCUGCCUUUUGGUUCGGGAUAACCGCGGGAAACUGCGGCUAAUACCGGAUGCUCCCGCGAGGGAAAAGAUUUAUCGCCAGAAGAGGGGCCCGCGUCCGAUUAGGUAG
rnacentral:rRNA from 1 species